rnacentral:sRNA from 1 species
AAGCCCUGCCUUUCAGGCAUCCUCUCCUAAAACUCAUCGGCCGGUCUUCUGAUCGGCCUUUUUUUUACCUGGC